rnacentral:rRNA from 1 species
UACAGAGGGUGCAAGCGUUGUUCGGAUUCACUGGGCGUAAAGGGUGCGUAGGCGGUUUGGUAAGUCUGAUGUGAAAUCUAUGGGCUCAACUCAUAGUCUGCAUCGGAAACUGCCGGGCUUGAGUGUGGGAGAGGUGAGUGGAAUUCCUGGUGUAGCGGUGAAAUGCGUAGAUAUCAGGAGGAACACCUGUGGCGAAAGCGGCUCACUGGACCAUAACUGACGCUGAUGCACGAAAGCUAGGGGAGCAAACAGG